rnacentral:misc_RNA from 1 species
UUUUAGGGAGACCUACACCCCUUACAUAUCGAAAAACACACAGUUAAAUAGAUAGUAAGUUGGUCUAACCUAGGUCGGUCGAGAAUUGGUAUAAAGCUUUCAAAGUAUUAAUGGUUCAGAAUAUCAAACAGAAUUAACAAUAGCGAGAGUUCAGCAACAUGACUUAAUUGAAGUCAGACUGCUGAGUUGAAUCUCAGCCAGAACCUUGAAAACUGCAUAGUAACGCGAAAAUAGCAGGCAGACACAGAUAAUCUUUACAGAUGUUUUUGUGAAUGCAAAAGUUAAAAGACCAAAUAUUUGAGU